rnacentral:rRNA from 1 species
GACGAACGCUGGCGGCGUGCUUAACACAUGCAAGUCGAACGGAAAGGCCCUGCUUGCAGGGUACUCGAGUGGCGAACGGGUGAGUAACACGUGGGUGAUCUGCCCUGCACUUCGGGAUAAGCCUGGGAAACUGGGUCUAAUACCGGAUUGGAGCCAUUUUUAGUGUGAUGGUUGGAAAGUUUUUUCGGUGUAGGAUGAGCUCGCGGCCUAUCAGCUUGUUGGUGGGGUAAUGGCCUACCAAGGCGGCGACGGGUAGCCGGCCUGAGAGGGUGGACGGCCACAUUGGGACUGAGAUACGGCCCAGACUCCUACGGGAGGCAGCAGUGGGGAAUAUUGCACAAUGGGCGCAAGCCUGAUGCAGCGACGCCGCGUGGGGGAUGACGGCCUUCGGGUUGUAAACUCCUUUCGCUAGGGACGAAGCUUUUUGUGACGGUACCUAGAUAAGAAGCACCGGCUAACUACGUG